GGUUGCAAAAAAAACCACCAGUGCCCUAGGUCUCUCUGUAGUCACGCAGAGGAGCGAAACAGCAUCGCGGCGGUGGUGAAUCGGCGGAGGAGAUCGAACGUGAUGAUGUACCGAUGGGAAAAAUCAUUGGAGAAAUUUGUAGAUCGCUGGAGUCGUGCUAAUGGUGGCGAAUCAGCGAAGGAGAACGUUGCGGUGCCGGAGCAUGGGAGGAGGUCCGAGCGGCUGUGAAGUUGGCCGGUUCCUUCGCCGGCGUUCUGGUCAUCGCUGAGGCGCUCCGGCUCUUCGCGGACACAGAUGCGCGAUUGACGGCGGCCCCGACUGGCCCCGAUCCACCGGUUGGUCUGCCCUGUGCGCGCUCAGUGCAGCCGCUUCCGGGACAACACUGCGACUAUUCUAACUGGAGGCGCGUGCCUCCAUGUCCUCUCUCCGCCACCAAGGGAGGGGAGCAGCAGUGGUACGACAUGGUGAAUUGGUGACUGGACGUCACCCUCCUGGAGCUGCGCAUGGCCAUGGAGGCCCAAGUCGCCUAUUUGUGGUCUCCUAUUAUCAUAGGCUUCUCCAUUUGUGAUUCAGUCGAUGGCGAUGACAAUCUCUUCUGGCCAUUUUUUGAUGUGUCUAGGAUUAAAUUUUCAGUUCAUUGGAUUUUGUUUGCAGGCUGCCCCUGACGCUGACUAAUUUGACGACAAGAUCUUCCUUUGGUCCUUUCACUUUGCGUGCUCCGCUCCUCCAUGCGAGCUCUCAGACAUUGUUUGGUCAUCGAAGGUUUGUAGCCCUGUUUUAUAAGGCGAGCUAAUUGUCCCCUGCUAAUUAUCGGCUAGCUGAGUUCAGACGAGUUUUGUUGAACUGCAAAUGUAGAGAUUGAGAAAUACAAUGAGAUAGUGAGCUAAACUUCUGCUAUUGCUAUUAGGUUAUUGUGAACAUGUAUUAGAGCAGAAAGACUGAUUCAGUCAAGCAGAAAGACUGAUUCAGUCAAGUUUGAUGGUAUGUACAUUCUAUUUCUUCACAAGCUUACACGUUCAGAUUCAAGUUAUUGUAGAAUUUGCUUACUAUGGUAAAAAUGAUACAAUAUUAUCAAGGAAUUGAUUGUAUGUUGUUACCAUCCCAUAACAGUCUAGGGUAUAUUAUGGAGAACUAUGUUUAAUUGCAACUUAACAGUAAUAUAUUUGCAGUUGCUUACUUCACCUGAACUGAAUGACUAUGGAAUUACCUAGCUUCAUAAUGAUUUUGGAGGUAUCUUCGAUCUUCUUAAUACAUCCGAAUAUGUUUGCAUUCCCUUCUGAUUGCAAUUUCUCGGGGCGGCAAUUCAAUCUUAACUUUGUGGCCCUCGCUGCUCGCCAGACCUGGGCAUGCAUGGUGACCAGCAGCAGCCAGCCUCGAUGAGGAUGCAUGGGGAGCAGGCUGCCGUUGCUAAACUGAGACAGCCCAUGAAAUUUCUCCGGAGGAUGAAGUUAUUGCCUAGAUUCUUAGGGAAUGAUUGUUCGUUGUAAUGGCAGUCAGUUCAAAAGCUAUAUGCAGGAGCUGAAGAGCUAAAGUCGCUUAACGCACUCAGAUUAAAUGGCCAAUGCUUAGUUCUCUGUCAGUUUUCAGGAGACAGAAAAGGCAUAUAGCUGAGAACUGCUCCUUCCAACUGUUUGUUCUAUAUUGUGUGUUAUCCUGUGUAUAUGCACUGCACGAAGUGUAUAAAAAGUUGACUUUUUUGA